GAUGAAGAACGUAGCGAAAUGCGAUAAGUAAUGCGAAUUGCAGAAUUCAGUGAGUCAUCGAAUCUUUGAACGCACAUUGCGCCCUGUGGUAUUCCGCAGGGCAUACCUGUUCGAGCGUCAUUUCAACCCUCAAGCUCUGCUUGGUGUUGGGCCCUGCCCGCUGCGGCCGGCCCUAAAGACAGUGGCGGUGCCGCCUGGCCCUGAGCGUAGUACAUCUCUCGCUCCAGUGCCCGGUGGUAGCCUGCCAGAACCCCAACUCUCGUGGUUGACCUCGGAUCAGGUAGGGAUACCCGCUGAACUUAAGCAUAUCAAUAAGCGGAGGA
rnacentral:misc_RNA from 1 species